rnacentral:rRNA from 1 species
UUUUGGACAAUGGGCGCAAGCCUGACCCAGCCAUGCCGCGCCGGUGAAGAAGGCCUUCGGGUUGUAAAGCUCUUUCGGCCGGAAAGAAAUCGCCCAGCCUAAUACCCUGCCCGGAUGACGGUACCGUCAUAACAACCACGGCCCAGCUUCCGUCCGUCCGCCGGGGUAAGACGAAGGGUGCGAGCGUUAAUCGGAUUUACUGGGGGUAAAGCGUGCGCAGGCGGUUGAUUAAGACAGGCGUGAAAUCCCCGGGCUUAACCUGGGAACUGCGCUUGUGACUGGUCAGCUAGAGUACGGCAGAGGGGGGUGGAAUUCCACGUGUAGCAGUGAAAUGCGUAGAGAUGUGGAGGAACACCGAUGGCGAAGGCAGCCCCCUAGGCCGAUACUGACGCUCAUGCACGAAAGCGUGGGUAGCAAACAGG